CUCCUUCACAGCCUGAGAGAGACCCACGAAUCCGUGUUAGAAAGAAGCUGUGAAAACCCAACAUGAACAACGUAAAACCCCGACUUUUACCUGAAUCCGACGGAACCGCCUGACAAACCACCACAGCAGACAGAAGGAACCUGCAGAACAGUCGCUCUGUACAUCUACAGGAAUGAUCUUUAACACGACGUCGAACAGUUGCUAAAUAAAGGUGCACGUCUGUCUGCUUCGGCUGACAGUCUGUCAUGUUUCUGUCGGGGAAAGUGUGAGGUAAUUAGAGGAGCUGAGGUGGACAGCGAGACGCACAUUUGAGAGGACAAAUCCAGAUUAAAUAUGCCGUCUUGUACUAUUCACAUUUAUUUUAAAUUAGACGACUAUUCGAAUGCUAUGUUUAUCUGUACACAACACGAUCACUCCUCAACACAACGCUUGAUUUGAGAAAUCAGGUCAUCCUUAUUUUACUGCUUCUAGCGCCUGUUAGAUUUCCAGCAGUGUAAAGCAAAGUGAAUGCAUGGGUUAAAAGUGUUCAGACUCCAGCAGCAGUAAACUCAAACCACAUAAAUAACUGGUUAAUUAAUUCACAUCUCUUUGUGUUUCAUUCCCAUAAUCAACAAGCCUCUGGAUAACACCAGUGCAGCAUUAGGUGUUUUCAGAGAAGUUUUAAUGACAUCUAUGGAGGUAAGAAGUGCAGAUAUGUUUAUCUGACUUGAGUUUAUUUGUUUGUAAUUACAGCAACUUUUGAUAAAUACUGGUUCACGUUUAAUGCAUCCAUAGAUGAACUGAAAUGAACUUCCUGAUCGUGCAUUAAAGGGAUCAUAUGGAAGCAUGUUUCUGCCAAAGGAUACAAUUUUUUUUUUUGACUUAUUUCAUACUUUUUAUUUAAAAAACAUUUUUUUUAUGUGAAAUUGUGAGGAAAAAAGUCAGGAUUGUUAGAUAUAAACUCAGAAUUUAUGUCUUCUCCAUAUUUCCUCAGAAUGUAAAGUUUUAAACAUGCAGUUUGGAGUUUUUUGUUCUUGCAAUUCUGAAAAAUAAAUAAAUAAAUUGCCAGGAAAUAAAGUCAGAAUUGUGAGACAAAAAGCUGCAAUUAUUGCUUUUGUUUUUUUGUCAUUUGUGGCGUUUUAAAUCCGCAACAUAACGUCACAGACAUGCAUUUAGAGAUGAAGUUUCCCUUAAACAUUGUUCCAAAACACCUGACAUAUUAAUCUUUGGUUUGCUGUAAUUAAAUAUUUUAAAUAGGAUACAUUUGACAAUGAUUUAUUGAAUAUCCGUGUCAUUCUUAGCAGUGACAGCGAGUGCAAGUUUCUGCUUCUCAUGGGGAACAUUUGACAGAGCUGAUUAUUGUGAUUUCUAUUCAGAAAACUGACACGGUAAUGACAGCUGAAUCAUUAUCAGCUAUGCAAAGGUUGACGCUCUGUCUCCUAAUGAGCUGUCUGCAGUUUCUUCACUCCGUCUGAAAGGUUAAGAUUCAGGAUGUCAGCCACUUCUGUAAGAGACAAGGACAAAUGCGAUGCAAAAUGAACAGUUUUUAUAUGAGCUGCAUUGGGAUUAAAAGGGCAAAACAAUCUCGGUGCAAACUUGGUGACAGUUGAAGUCAAAUUGUUAUUGUUGCAUACACAUCAGCACAAUGAAAUGAGUUUGAUUAACAUUCGAUUAUAUGCAUGCAGCGUCACCUAAAGGAACAGUUCAUCCAACAAUGAAAAUCUGCCAAAAAUGUGCUCUCUUCAGGCCAUUCGAGAUGUAAAUGAGUUUGUUUCUUCAUCAGGUUUGGAGAAAUGUAUCAUUGCAUCAGUGUC